rnacentral:rRNA from 1 species
AUAUUAAGUUGUUGCGGUUAAAAGCUCGUAGUUGGAUUUCUGUUGAGGACGGCCGGUCCGCACUAUGUGCGUGUAUCUGGUUCGGCCUUGGCAUCCUCUUGAGGAACGUAUCUACGCUUGAUUGCGUGGAGCGGUAUUCAAGACUUUUACUUUGAGGAAAUUAGAGUGUUCACGGCGGGCAAGCGCCCUGAAUAUAUUAGCAUGGAAUAAUAAUAUAGGAUCUUGGUUCUAUUUUGUUGGUUUCUAGAGCUAAGGUAAUGAUUAAUAGGGAUAAUUGGGGGCAUUUGUAUUAACGCGUCAGAGGUGGAAUUCUUGGAUUGCGUUACGACAAACUACUGCGAAAGCAUUUGCCAAGGAUGUUUUCAUUGAUCAAGAACGAAAGUAUGGGGAUCGAAGAUGAUUAGAUACCGUCGUAGUCUAUACCAUAAACUAUGCCGACUAGGGAUUGGAGGUCGUUCUUUUUAUGACUCCUUCAGCACCUUAUGAGAAAUCAAAGUCUUUGGGUUCCGGGGGGAGUAUAGUCGCAAGGCUGAAACUUAAAGGAAUUGACGGAAGGGCACCACCAGGAGUGGAGCCUGCGGCUUAAUUUGACUCAACACGGGGAAACUCACCAGGUCCAGACAUAGUAAGGAUUGACAGAUUGAUAGCUCUUUCUUGAUUCU